GUAAGUCCACCAACUUUACGUGUUAGCAGAGGGAUUUGGAGAAGGACGAGAAACCACUGAAUGGAGGAGACAAGGAAGAUUCUAGAAGAUGCUGGAUUGGCAAGGGGUAAAGAGAGAUGUGAAAAAUGUCUCCAGGAGCUGAGGAGACCUGCUUCAGGCUGCACCAGUGCUAACAAGCGGCAGAACCGGAUGUGAACCCCAGAGUUCCCAUCUCCCACGGCAUGCAGAACUUCUUCGGCUACCUGAGCUACAGGAACCCUGGGAAGCAGGGCCAGAGGUGCCUGGGGACUGCAGCCCACUGGGGUGGGCAUGGGGAAAGAGGAAUAUCAUUUCUGGUUCAAGUUGCUAGUUUUGCAGAGUGUAAAAUUACUGCACAGGCCCCAGAGAAUAAACAGAGUUAACACCCCAUUAAAUACAAUGGACUUUCAACGUGAGCUCUAGACGUGCCUAGAUUGAAACUAGCUGAGCAAGAGCUGGCCCGUGAGUAAAAUGUAUCACAUGCACUCCCUUAAUGCUUCCAAAGAGAAAAAUCCAGCGCAGGGAGAAGAAAGUGCCGGCAGCAGCUCUGCAGGCUCAGGGCUGAGGAUCCGGUAAUGAAGUCUUUCUGGAAGGUAAGAAAGGGCUGUGUGCUGCAUGCUAUUUUUAAACAUGCUGGAGCAGCACAUGUAUCCCUGGCCCACGCACUUUCUCCAGCAGAGGAGGGGCCUGGGGGAUGCAGCCAGGAAUUUAGAUGCUAUUUAUUGUAUUUCCUUUUAUCAGUCAAAUGAUUUUCCUAUUUCCCACCUAGAUAAAGAUCUUCCACUUACAGCUCCAGCUUGUUGACCUUGUCAGGACUGCUGUGCAGCCUGAAAAUUGGUCCCAGAGAGAGAAGGGCAUUGUUUUUAGGGGGUUGCUUGGCGGGUUGGGUUUUUCUUCUCCCAGCAGGGAAGAGAUUGGUUUACAAAAAAAAAAAAAAAAAUUAAAAAUCUUCCAGAAAACAAAAACUGAUUGUUUUGUGCCUUUUUGCAGAACUGAAAGGCUGUCCAAGUAUAGUUCACCAGCCAUCCCC
rnacentral:lncRNA from 1 species